GAAAAGUUCAGGCAUAAAUGAUUUGCUCUAAACGACAUUCGCAUCAAUCAGAAGAACAGGUCUUGGUGUAAGCUUCGAAUUUUUCUGCUCUACAGAAAUAUCUUCGGGUAAAAAUAUUGCUCAGAAAUAACUCAACAAUGACAGGGACAAUCUACGCUCACAUUAUGAUGGCACUGAUAAUAUUUGCAUUUUUCUUCUUCGUGCAAGCCAAUGCUAUCACUCAGGAGGCAGGGCCUCCAGCCCCAAAUGUUGCCCCUCAAUGGUUCCGCUUUGAAGAACAUCAAGAACGAUGACUCAAUAUUGACAAACAAAUAAAGAUCGAUCGUUAAUAUAUUAUAUAUAUCAAUAUUUCUAUAUUAUUCUAUAAACUAGAAGUUAAAAUAAUAUUAUACAUGGUUUAAAAAGUUUGAAAAGAUUUAUAAUUGUUUGAUGUUUGAUGUUAAUAAACAGCAAUUGCUACAAACAUAAAUAACACAUAUGGUA